GAGAGUAAAAGUGAGAUGAGUUUGUCUGAGAUGGCUCAAAAUGCCUCGAGACUGGCAUUUGCUAGAAUCUGCUAGAAUUUGGGUCCCUUCCGUUCUGAAGUUCUUUAGCACCUUGUCCUCAGCCGGAUUACGAAAACUGCCCGUAGAUCUUCCUCGGAACCAUCAGAAAGUACAUCCAAUCGUCCAGAGCACACUUCACGGUGUCUCGUUAUAACGACUUUGAAUGCAACUCGGAGAAGCUGAAUGCCGAUUUUAGCGUACCAGAGUGGCUUGCCGCAACAUCUAUUCCAUUGAACUCAAGUGCGGAUAAGGAAAAAGUUCUAAAAUAUUGCGGCGUUAAUAUUGUUGAUCCUGCUAAUGUGAAAUAUUGCGAGAAAAGUAUGGCUGAAUGCAUAGAGGAAGUGAAUCAAUGUUCAGAAUCCAAUAAAGAGAAAGGUAGCAUGUGUGCUAACCAUGAGUGCGAUUGUAUUGACACAGAUACGCAAAAAAAAUAUUAAAAAAAAAUUGUCGAAAAUACAAAUGCAGCUAAUUCAGUAACUAUAUUUUACACUAAUUCUAUAAAAUUUUAUAAAAA